UACGUAGGGUGCAAGCGUUGUCCGGAAUUAUUGGGCGUAAAGAGCUCGUAGGCGGUCUGUUGCGUCGGGAGUGAAAACUUACAGCUUAACUGUGAGCGUGCUUCCGAUACGGGCAGACUUGAGGUAUUCAGGGGAGGACGGAAUUCCUGGUGUAGCGGUGAAAUGCGCAGAUAUCAGGAGGAACAUCAGUGGCGAAGGCGGCUUCCUGGACCAAUACUGACGAUCAGGUGCGAAAGCGUGGGGAGCAAACAGG
rnacentral:rRNA from 1 species